rnacentral:rRNA from 1 species
UGGGGAUCAAACAGGAUUAGAUACCCUGGUAGUCCACGCCGUAAACGAUGAGUGCUAAGUGUUAGGGGGUUUCCGCCCCUUAGUGCUGCAGCUAACGCAUUAAGCACUCCGCCUGGGGAGUACGACCGCAAGGUUGAAACUCAAAGGAAUUGACGGGGACCCGCACAAGUGGUGGAGCAUGUGGUUUAAUUCGAAGCAACGCGAAGAACCUUACCAAAUCUUGACAUCCUUUGACAACUCUAGAGAUAGAGCCUUCCCCUUCGGGGGACAAAGUGACAGGUGGUGCAUGGUUGUCGUCAGCUCGUGUCGUGAGAUGUUGGGUUAAGUCCCGCAACGAGCGCAACCCUUAAGCUUAGUUGCCAUCAUUAAGUUGGGCACUCUAAGUUGACUGCCGGUGACAAACCGGAGGAAGGUGGGGAUGACGUCAAAUCAUCAUGCCCCUUAUGAUUUGGGCUACACACGUGCUACAAUGGACAAUACAAAGGGUAGCGAAACCGCGAGGUCAAGCAAAUCCCAUAAAGUUGUUCUCAGUUCGGAUUGUAGUCUGCAACUCGACUACAUGAAGCUGGAAUCGCUAGUAAUCGUAGAUCAGCAUGCUACGGUGAAUACGUUCCCGGGUCUUGUACACACCGCCCGUCACACCACGAGAGUUUGUAACACCCGAAGCCGGUGGAGUAACCUUUUAGGAGCUAGCCGUCGAAGGUGGGACAAAUGAUUGGGGUGAAGUCGUAACAAGGUAGCCGUAUCGGAAGGUGCGGCUGGAUCACCU